GGGGGUGUGGCUCAGUGGUAGAGCAUUUGACUGCCGAUCAAGAGGUCCCCAGUUCAAUUCUGGCUACCCCCU